rnacentral:rRNA from 1 species
GGUGAUCCUGCGGCAGGGAUCAUUAUCGAGCU